UACGUAGGGUGCUAACGUUGUUCGGAAUCACUGGGCAUAAAGAGCGCGUAGGCGGUCUGAUAAGUCAGGUGUGAAAUCCCCCGGCUCAACCGGGGAACUGCACCUGAUACUGUUGGGCUUGAGUGCAGGAGGGGAGAGCGGAAUUCCUGGUGUAGCGGUGGAAUGCGCAGAUAUCAGGAGGAACACCGGUGGCGAAGGCGGGUCUCUGGGCCACUACUGACGCUGAGAAGCGAAAAGCAUGGGGGAGCGAACAGG
rnacentral:rRNA from 1 species